rnacentral:rRNA from 1 species
UGGGGUAUAUUGGACAAUGGGCGAAAGCCUGAUCCAGCCAUGCCGCGUGUGUGAAGAAGGUCUUCGGAUUGUAAAGCACUUUAAGUUGGGAGGAAGGGCAGUAAGCGAAUACCUUGCUGCUUUGACGUUACCGACAGAAUAAGCACCGGCUAACUCUGUGCCAGUAGCCGCGGUAAUACAGAGGGUGCAAGCGUUAAUCGGAAUUACUGGGCGUAAAGCGCGCGUAGGCGGUUCGUUAAGUUGAAUGUGAAAGCCUCGGGCUCAACCUGGGAACUGCAUCCAUGACUGGCGAGCUAGAGUAGGGCAGAGGGUAGUGGAAUUUCCUGUGUAGCGGUGAAAUGCGUAGAUAUAGGAAGGAACACCAGUGGCGAAGGCGACCACCUGGGAUCAUACUGACACUGAGGUGCGAAAGCGUGGGGAGCAAACAGG